CUUACUAGGAAAUACAUGCUCUUUCCUCUGUUCAUAAGAGGGGGUUUAUCUUAGGGUUUCGCUCGCGCUCGCUCAUUCCCCAAUCUCCACCCCACCAAGCCAUGGCGAAACCCAGCAGAGGCCGUCCUUCCCCGUCGGGCUCCGCGUCCGGGUCCUCCUCUCGGUCCCGCUCUUUCUCAGGCUCCGACUCUCGUUCCAGCUCCAGGUCUCGUUCCCCGUCCAAGUCCCCGUCUCGCUCUCGCUCUAGAUCGGUCACUUCCUCUUCCUCUCCUUCGCACAGCGUCAGCUCUCGCAGCCGUAGCCCCCCUCGUCACCGCCGCAGUUCUCCUGAGGUAGUCAAGAGAGGCCGUUCCCCUCCGCCGCCGCCGCCGCCUAAGAGAGCUUCUCCGCCCCCUAGGAAAGCUUCUCCUAUUCGAGAAUCCCUUGUUCUUCAUAUAGACGCACUCAGUAGAAAUGUUAAUGAAGGCCACCUGAAGGAGAUAUUCAGUAACUUUGGUGAAGUAGUGCAUGUGGAGCUUGCCAUGGACCGGACUGUGAAUCUUCCAAAAGGAUAUGGUUAUGUCGAGUUCAAAACAAGAGCUGAUGCUGAAAAGGCUCAGCUGUAUAUGGAUGGAGCUCAAAUUGAUGGAAAUUUUGUUCGUGCCAAGUUUACAUUACCACCUAGACAGAAGGUUUCGCCAACACCAAAACCUGCUCCAACAGAUUUGAAGAGAGAUGCUUCGAAAUCUGAUAAUGUUGGUGCUGAUGCAGAAAAAGAUGCAUCUAAACAGCCAAGAGACUCUUCUCCUCGUCGGAAAGCUCUUUCCCCACCACCACCACGAAGAAGAUCUCCUGGACCUCGUAGAGGUGGAUCUCCAAGAAGACUGCUAGAUUCUCCAAUCCGCCGUCGAGGAGAAUCCCCAAUCCGCCGUCGAGGAGAGUCCCCCUAUCGACGUGGUGAGACACCUCCAAGAAGGCGGCCUGCGUCCCCGGGAAGAGUUCGUGACCCAUUAUCUCUUCCAAGGCGGCAUAGGUCCCCUCUGAGAGCGCGGGCUAGUCCAAUCCGAAGACGUUCGCCCCUUCCUCCUAGGCGACGGUCACCACCUAGACGAGCUAGAAGUCCACCUAGAAGGUCUCCAAUCAGUCGACGGCGUAGUCGCUCUCUAGUGCGCAGGGCCGCUCGAUCACCAGCACGAUCACCUUCUCCUAGGAGAGGUCGAGCACCACAAGCAAGGCGUGGCAGGUCAUCCUCGUACUCUGACUCACCAAGUCCACGCAAGAUACCGCGGCGGAUACCGAGUCGCAGCCCUAGAAGGUAUUUUUCUUUCCUAGAUCAUCUUUGCCAAUAACUACAGUUGUUUGUAGUAAACCUUAGUUUGUGUGCAAUGUGAUUUCUGGGCGUUGGCGUACAACUGCUGACAGUUGUGCAGCCUUCCCAGUUCUGCUUUGCAUUGGCCCAUAAGGGGAAGGAGCUCCAGCAACACGAGCAGCAGCAGCUCGCCGCCUCGUAAGCCAUAGGUAAAUUCUCUGUUCCUCACCCAUCUUCCCCUUCCUGUCCCAUCUCCACCUCCCUUCCCCAGCCCCACUCACAUCAUUCGCAUCCCUGCAUCCCUCUGAUUGUGGGAGAGACACACAGAGAGAAGGAACAAGAGAGGAAGUUUCCAGCAAAUUGAAAAUUGUGGUACUUUUUUCUGUGGAGGAACUUUAUGGCUGUAAUUAUGACCAUGCUCGUAUUUUAGAGGAUCGAUUCUGCUGGGCAACUCUGAAUCUGUCUUAGUUGAUUGUUCUUGUAGAAGUUGAUGAUUCUGUUUUAUGGUAUCGUUUUGUUUUAUC